rnacentral:rRNA from 1 species
GCUUACGACCACAACUGCCUGAGUACGCCUGAUCUCGUCUGAUCUCGGAAGCUAAGCAGGGUCAGGCCUGGUUAGUACUUGGAUGGGAGACAGCCUGGGAAUACCAGGUGCUGUAAACU